rnacentral:rRNA from 1 species
ACGGCUCAGUAACACGUGGAUAACCUGCCCUUAGGUCUGGCAUAACCCCGGGAAACUGGGGAUAAUUCCGGAUAGAUUAUAGACGCUGGAAUGCCCUGUAAUCGAAAGCUUUUGUGCCUAAGGAUGGGUCUGCGGUCUAUCAGGUUGUAGUGGGUGUAACGUACCUACUAGCCUACGACGGAUACGGGUUGUGGGAGCAAGAGCCCGGAGAUGGAUUCUGAGACAUGAAUCCAGGCCCUACGGGGCGCAGCAGGCGCGAAAACUUUACAAUGCGGGAAACCGCGAUAAGGGGACACCGAGUGCCAGCAUCCUAUGUUGGCUGUCCAUAUGUAUAAAUCACAUGUGUUAGCAAGGGCCGGGCAAGACCGGUGCCAGCCGCCGCGGUAACACCGGCGGCCCGAGUGGUGGCCACUAUUAUUGGGUCUAAAGGGUCCGUAGCCGGUUUGGUCAGUCUUCCGGAAAAUCUGACGGCUUAACCGUUAGGCUUUCGGGGGAUACUACCAGGCUUGGGACCGGGAGAGGUAAGAGGUACUACGGGGGUAGGAGUGAAAUCUUGUAAUCCCCGUGGGACCACCAGUGGCGAAGGCGUCUUACCAGAACGGGUCCGACGGUGAGGGACGAAAGCUGGGGGCACGAACCGGAUUAGAUACCCGGGUAGUCCCAGCUGUAAACUAUGCUCGCUAGGUGUCAGGGACGGUGCGACCGUUUCUGGUGCCGCAGGGAAGCCGUGAAGCGAGCCACCUGGGAAGUACGGUCGCAAGGCUGAAACUUAAAGGAAUUGGCGGGGGAGA